rnacentral:lncRNA from 1 species
AACAUCGUUUGCCCAUAAUCUAGUCUUUUUGAUUGAUGUUUGGGAUUACGAUUAGCUCAUGAGAGUGAAAUGAUCGCAGCUUGAUUUGAAACUUGAGUUGGCCUUAAAAGUCUAGAGCAUUUGAAUCGUAACUACAAAUAUCAAUAGGGUCUGAAUUUUUGGUUAGUGUCAUUUCAGUGAAAACCCUAGAUAGGUAUUGGAUGCUUGGCUUGGUUUUUGGCACUAUAUGUUUCUGCUUUUGGUUUCAGUGUUGUUCUUUUCAUGUAGAUUGAGCUGCCUCUGUGGACAGACAUCGUCAAGACUGGUAAACUUAAGGAGCUUGCUCCAUAUGACCCUGACUGGUACUACAUCAGAGCCGGUAUGUAUAACAACAUCCGGUCAAGUCUUCUACCUAUUGGAUUUAGGCAUUGCCUUUUAAUGUUUGUAUCUGAUUUUCUGAGACAACCUUUUCUACUCUUAAGCUUCCAUGGCUAGGAAAGUUUACCUGAGGGGUGGUCUUGGAGUUGGUGCCUUCCGUAGGAUCUAUGGAGGAAGCAAGAGGAACGGAAGCCGUCCUCCUCAUUUCUGCAAGAGCAGCGGUGGUGUUGCUCGUCACAUUCUUCAGCAACUCCAGACCAUGAACAUUGUCGACCUCGACACCAAGGGGUAAGUUUAUUGUCUCUGGUAUAGAUUUCUCCGUGGACACUUGGAUUCGAUAUCUUAAAUAAGAUCUAAGAUUGUAUUCACUAAAUGAAUUGUAUUUAUGGUUUUAUGAAUGUGCUACUACUUAAUCUAUUAAUACACAUAUUUCUGCAAUCGGUUAUGUCCUUGCUAGCUAACGAUUACAUAUUCUGAUCCUUCCAGGGGAAGGAAGAUCACAUCAAGUGGUCAGAGAGAUCUUGACCAAGUUGCUGGAAGGAUCGCAGCUGCCGUCUAAAUCAA